GAUGAACGCUGGCGGCGUGCUUAACACAUGCAAGUCGAACGGUGAAGCAGAGCUUGCUCUGUGGAUCAGUGGCGAACGGGUGAGUAACACGUGAGCAACCUGCCCCGGACUCUGGGAUAAGCGCUGGAAACGGCGUCUAAUACAGGAUACGAGAUUCCACCGCAUGGUGAGUUUCUGGAAAGAUUUUUUGGUCUGGGAGGGGCUCGCGGCCUAUCAGAUUGUUGGUGAGGUAAUGGCUCACCAAGGCGUCGACGGGUAGCCGGCCUGAGAGGGUGACCGGCCACACUGUGACUGAGACACGGCCCAGACUCCUACGGGAGGCAGCAGUGGGGAAUAUUGCACAAUGGGCGGAAGCCUGAUGCAGCAACGCCGCGUGAGGGAUGACGGCCUUCGGGUUGUAAGCCUCUUUUAGCAGGGAAGAAGCGAAAGUGACGGUACCUGCAGAAAAAGCGCCGGCUAACUACGUGCCAGCCGCCGCCGUAA
rnacentral:rRNA from 1 species